GAUGAGACCUUUGCCCCUGUUGCGAGGUUGGAGUUUGUUCGAAUUUUACUUACCAUUGCUUGUCAUCUAAGCUUUAGACUUCACCGGACAGAUAUGAAAAGUGCUUUUAUGAAUGGCAUUCUACAUGAAAAAGCCUAUGUUGAACAAUCAAAAGGGUUUGAAGAUCCUAAGCAUCCUGACCAUGUGUACAAGCUUAAAAAACCUUUAUAUAGAUCAAAACAAACGCCUCGAGCUUGGUAUGAAAUGUUGACUACUUUUCUUCUAAAGUCUGACUUUUCUCGAAGGGAGCUGAUAAAACCCUAUUUAUGAAGAGAGAAUCUAAGCACAUUCUUAUUGCUCAAAUCUAUGUCGAUGAUAUUGUGUUUGGUUCUACUUCUGAAAAUCUUACUCAAAAUUUCUUCAAACAUAUGAAAAGUCAAUUGAAAUGAGCAUGAUGGGAGAGUUGAAUUACUUCCUAGGGUUACAAGUCAAACAGAUGGAUAAAAGGAUUUUUAUUUCUUAAUCCAAAUAUGCUGGAGACUUAGUAAAACAAUUUGGCUUGAAAAAUGCUAAACAUGCUAGAACUCCUAUGAGUACUAGUCUUAAGCUUAAUAAGGAUACUGGAAAGGAUGUUGAUUAAACUCUGUACAGAAGUAUGAUUGGUAGUUUUCUUUACUUAACUGCUAAUGGACCUGGCAUUGCAUUUAGUGUUGGUAUUUGUGCUUGUUUUUAGGCAUGUCCCAAAGAAUCACACUUGUUUGCUAUCAAAAGAAUUAUUAAUAGGUUAAUGGUACUCUUGGGUAUGGUAUCAACUUUACCUUAGACACGAAUGAGAAUAUUGUAAGAUAUACUGAUGCAAAUUGUGUAGGGUCUGCCGAUGAUCAUAAGAGCACCUAUAGGGGGUGUUUUUAUGUAGGCAAUAAUCUUAUUGCUUGGCAUACUAAAAAGCAGAAUGCCAUUUCUUUGUCCACUACUGAGGCAGAGUACAUAGCUACUGGAAGCUAUUGUACUCAGCUCUUGUAGAUGAAACAAAUGUUGAGUGACUAUAGCUUAGAAUAGAAUGUCAUGACCUUUUGUGAUAACAUGAGUGCGAUUAGUAUCUCUAAGAAUCCUGUUCAACACUCUCGCACUAAACGUAUUGACAUAAGAUAUCUGUCACGUGCUAGUCAAACCAAGACCCGGCUACGUAAAGCAAACAACUUAAAUGUGAAAAAGUCAAACUAAAUAACAUGACAAUACACUGUUACUACAUCAGAGUACAGUAACUAAUCCUCCCAUAGGACCAUGCUCUCCAUGAGCUAUCAAAUAUAAAACAAGAAUGAUAUCCCAUGGACAAUGCUCACACUGGGCUAAAAGAAUAAUUACAAUUCCCAAAAGUACAUUUAUAUAUUUUCUAGACAAAAAGAAGGUAACAACAAUUCACAUGCCUCACGAUUCAGGAUAACCCUCGGUAACUAAAAUUUAUUUUAUAGUAAAGAUGAGUUACCUUGAAAAGAUUUAAUAAUGAACUUGAUGUCUCAAGCUAAAACCAUGAUACAUAACUAUAUAACGAAAAUAUGAUGCAAUAAAGUAUGUUUUCGUUCAUAUCAAAAUAUAUUUUUGAUUUCUAAUCCAUGAUUUCACAAAUCAUUUAGUUUUCACAUAUUUCGGCUUUUCUCAAAAGCAAUAUUUUCAUAAUUUCUCAAAUCAAUGAUUUUACAAACUUUACGGCUCCUCACAAGCAUUAAUCAUUACUCCGGAUUUUCUCAAAAAGCAAUAAUUCAAUUCCUUUGAAUGACACACCUAGGCUAAUAUCUAGCUAGCGUCGUUAUGCAAUAAGCAUGUGGGACAAUAUCCAGCCAACUUCUCGGGCUUUUACCAAAGGCUUUGACAUUUCCUCAUUCCGGCCUACUUCUCUAACUUUCACCGAAGGUUUGACAUACCAAAUAUCCGGCCACAUUCUCGAUCACUAACCAAGGGGUCGACAUUCCCUCCCGCAAGGUUGAUAUCUAGGUCUCUCACCUCGGACUUAAUCUAAGUCAUCUAAUUUCAAUAUAUCCUAGCGUGUUAUUCCCAAAACUAUUUUUAAAUUUCAAAUAUACACAAAGACUACAUUCUUCAAAUUUCACACAUGCAAUUGUUACAUUUAUCAAAAAUUUAAUGCAAUAAAAUAAUAUACAAAAUAUCAUCAUGCUCAAGGUAAAUUAUUUUAAAAAAAUAUUUAAUUUUUUUUAUUGUUCAAAAGUGUCGACACCUGAAAGUCAGGUGUCGACAUCUAAGGUCAGUAGCCAAAACUCUAAGGUUACUGCUCAAAAGUGUCGUUCAGGUGUCGACACCUGAAACUAGUGGCCAAAUUUCUUCGAAAGGUAUCGACACCUGAUAAAAACAAGGUGUCGAUACCUGAUCUACGAAAUCUAAACUUUUUCCAUAUCAACCAAAUCUUUCAUUUAGGGUUCAACACCCAAAAUAAAAUCUCAAUGGGCUAGAUAUAAGCCAUUAACAAUAACCCAAUGAAAAAUCCCAAUAAUAAACUCCCUUUACA
rnacentral:lncRNA from 1 species